UUCCGGGUCUGAAAGUCUCAAAAAAGUCACAAAAUGGGAGACUGGGUGGGGAGAGGAGGAGAAGCUUCUCAAAGACAAAUUCAUUUCAAACACAGUUCUGAAAGGAUCCUUACAGCAUGCAAAUAAAAAUCUUUAGAAAAACUUUGGCCACCUGAGCAUGUAACUUUUACUGUAUCUGCCGGGAAACACAUUUUGGAUCUAACCAUUUUUAUUUUUGAGUUUUGUACCUGGGACAUGGCUAAAAAUUUUUAAACAAAGGCUGUAAGAGCUCUGUGUCUGUAUUUUCCAUGUCUGUGUGUCUGUAUGUCUGUGUAUAUGUGUCAUAACGUGUGACAUUUUUCUAUGAGUAUUGCCAAAACUAAUUUGCAAAGAGCUCUAUUUAAUUGGCUUAAAGAAAACUGAGUGUUUACAGAAAUCAAGUAUACUCUUAGAAAUUGUAGAAAGUAAGCCAAAUGUUUGUUUCAAGUUCACAUGAUCUGGGAUAAUCUUUGAUAAAUAAAAAUUCAUUUAAAUUUGCUGGUUUAAUAAAAGCAAGCAUGUCUUCGAAAUUUGUCAACAGCAAAACAAUAAAUAAGAUAAUGGCUAACCAUUUGAUGUCUAAUCCGAGCAUCAUCGUUAAAAAGAAGUCAUUUAAGUAUGUGUAAAUACGGUCAAAGUUUAUGCUAAAUUAAACCAAAUAAUGGCUCUUCAGUGAAUAUCUAACUCAUUUCCAAAUCAGAUGAACAUUAAAUGCUAAGCAGAAGUUUAUCUACUUUUUAAUUUUUACAGAGAGGAGCAAAUAUUUGGGUCUAUCAAUAAACAUGUUUGACGCCACAUGGAAAAAAAUUAUUAGAAGACCCUUCCAAUAAUCUUGCAAUGUAUUUAUCAGUUUGUUAAUCUACCACAGGAUGCUAACAUACGAUAGCGCGCAGUCGCCUGCUUCCUGGUUUGCCCUGGAAAGCAAAGAUUACAAAUAGUUUAAAAAAUGGGAGGAAGGGCUGCGAACGAACCAGAAGAAGACGCGGCAGGUAACUCGGUACAAAGCCUGCACGGGCUCCAGGCAAACAACGCAGGUGCAGCAGGCGGCCCCCUGGGGAGGUGAGAGGCCCGUCAGCUUCUUCCUACUGCGCCCGGAUUUACCGAAACUUCCAGUUUCCCAAACUGCGCUCACAGACCCUCGCAAAUUUUGAGCAUCGGAAGGGUCUGUGUGGCCAGCUGGAAAGGCCCUUAGGAGAACAACCACCCUUGAGAAAAAGAAAAAAAAAGAAAAGGAGAAAGAAGAACAAAAGGGAAAAGAAAGAAGAAAAAAAGUAUUUAAAAGCAUUUGCCCCAUUUCUUUUAACUAUUUGCAAGGCUGGGAAAUCUGGUGGCGGCUUCCCAGCUCUUUACAGCCAGUUUCGACCUUGCUGUCCGGUCUUUUGAAUUUUUAUUCUGCCUGGUCAGCUUAGGGCGACCGUCUUCAGCAACGAUGUGGGGACCCUGGUGGCCCUGCCUGUUGUAUCAUCCCCGGUCUCCCAGGGCAAUGUCAGGCUGAGCCUGGAGAUGCGAGUGAAUGUCAUACCGUAAAUUUCAAAAAGCGUAUGGUGUAUUUCCGCUGUAUUAUAUGCUAUUGUCUACGAGCGAAUCUGUAAUUGUUCUGUGGCGACAGCUUUGUGCCGAUUCGUUUCUAGAUAAGCUUUGUAAUUUUUUGAAAUUGAGAAAACAACAUUUGAACGAAUAAAGGUGAAGUUGUCAGAA